rnacentral:rRNA from 1 species
AGAGUUUGAUCCUGGCUCAGGACGAACGCUGGCGGCACGCUUAACACAUGCAAGUCGAACGGAGAACAUUGAGCUUGCUUAAUGUUCUUAGUGGCGGACGGGUGAGUAACACGUGAGUAACCUGCCUCUGAGAGUGGGAUAGCUUCUGGAAACGGAUGGUAAUACCGCAUAACAUCAUGGAUUCGCAUGUUUCUGUGAUCAAAGAUUUAUCGCUUAGAGAUGGACUCGCGUCUGAUUAGCUAGUUGGUAAGGUAACGGCUUACCAAGGCGACGAUCAGUAGCCGGACUGAGAGGUUGAUCGGCCACAUUGGGACUGAGACACGGCCCAGACUCCUACGGGAGGCAGCAGUGGGGAAUAUUGCACAAUGGGGGAAACCCUGAUGCAGCGAUGCCGCGUGGAGGAAGAAGGUUUUCGGAUUGUAAACUCCUGUUGAAGAGGACGAUAAUGACGGUACUCUUUUAGAAAGCUCCGGCUAACUACGUGCCAGCAGCCGCGGUAAUACGUAGGGAGCGAGCGUUGUCCGGAAUUACUGGGUGUAAAGGGAGCGUAGGCGGGAUGGCAAGUCAGAUGUGAAAACUAUGGGCUCAACCCAUAGACUGCAUUUGAAACUGUUGUUCUUGAGUGAGGUAGAGGUAAGCGGAAUUCCUGGUGUAGCGGUGAAAUGCGUAGAGAUCAGGAGGAACAUCGGUGGCGAAGGCGGCUUACUGGGCCUUUACUGACGCUGAGGCUCGAAAGCGUGGGGAGCAAACAGGAUUAGAUACCCUGGUAGUCCACGCCGUAAACGAUGAUUACUAGGUGUGGGGGGACUGACCCCUUCCGU